GCGAGUGAAGCGGCAACAGCUCAAAUUUGAAAUCUGGCCUCCUCGGGGUCCGAGUUGUAAUUUGUAGAGGGUGUUUCGGGCGCGAUGCCGGUCUAAGUUCCUUGGAACAGGACGUCGUAGAGGGUGAGAAUCCCGUAUGCGACCGGCGAUCAAGCCUGUGUGAAGCCCCUUCGACGAGUCGAGUUGUUUGGGAAUGCAGCUCAAAAUGGGUGGUAAAUUUCAUCUAAAGCUAAAUAUUGGCCAGAGACCGAUAGCGGACAAGUAGAGUGAUCGAAAGAUGAAAAGCACUUUGGAAAGAGAGUCAAACAGUACGUGAAAUUGUUGAAAGGGAAGCGCUUGCAAUCAGACCGGUCCGGAGGUGAUCAGCCGCUGCUCGUCAGCGGUGCACUCGCCUGCGAUCCGGCCAGCAUCGGUUUGGGCGGUGGGAUAAAAGUCCCGGGAAUGUAGCUUCCUUCGGGGAGUCUUAUAGCUCGGGUCGCAAUGCCGCCCGCCUGGACCGAGGACCGCGCUUCGGCUAGGAUGCUGGCGUAAUGGUUGCAAGCG
rnacentral:rRNA from 1 species